rnacentral:rRNA from 1 species
UACGUAGGGUGCGAGCGUUGUCCGGAAUUAUUGGGCGUAAAGAGCUUGUAGGCGGUUUGUCGCGUCUGCUGUGAAAAUCCGGGGCUCAACCCCGGACUUGCAGUGGGUACGGGCAGACUAGAGUGUGGUAGGGGAGACUGGAAUUCCUGGUGUAGCGGUGGAAUGCGUAGAGAUCCGGAAGAACACCGGUGGCGAAGGCGGCCUGCUGGGCAGUGGCUGACACUGAGGCGCGACAGCGUGGGGAGCGAACAGG